CAAUGUUGACUUGUGAGCAAGUUAUUUCUCCUAUAGGUAACUCUCAUUGAAAUACACAAUUCAUUAUGUGGAAACAUGGAAUUGUUAUUUCCAUAGGUUUAAAAAAAAACCUCACAUAGUGGCAAUAUGUGACCCAACCUAAUAGUAUGACCCAGGCAGACUAUACAAGAAUUUACGUAUUUACAGAUGAUUAAUGAUAAUCCCAAACAAUCACAUUAAAAAACUAUAUCAAGUGCAUGGCUAUAAAUUUUGACAGGUGAUUACUAUGUGAAUUAGUAGUAGUGCCUGCUUUUCUCUUUUGUCUGGCUUUUUUUUUUGGUCAAAAAUGCUAGACAACAUGGAAAAUCAGGGAAAUAGUCACAAUCUGAUUUAGUAACCUUUAACAGCUUCUUCUCAGGUUACACAGGCUAACUUUUAUAUCAGGAUCAGGAUCUGCAGAGCAAUUAGUAUAGUGCUCUGCAGAUCCUGGUCCUAAUAUAGUAUAGUAUAGCAGGAUCUGCAGACCCUAGUUGUACCUGGCCAUACUCCCCACCAAUGACUGAGAAAGAAAUGGCUGAUUGUUCAAGAGAAAACAGUGGUCUUGAAAGACAACACAACAGUAGGUUACAAAGAGCAUUAGCUUUUUCUUUAAAAAAAUUCAAUGUAACCAGUGAAGGAUGAGAUUUUAAAUUAGAAAAAUGGAAAUCCUAUGAAUAAAAAACUAGUAAGCUCGAGAGCAGAAUCACUGUGGGAAAAAAAAACUGAAAAAUAACUUGCAGGUACCAUAGACAGGAAAUUGCCACUAGAGCAAACAGGAAACUUGUGAUAGAUAAAAAUGAAGUGUUUUCAUUUGGAACAAGAGACCAACUGAAGAGAGAUCAAGUGAAGGGCGUUUAUUUUAAUGACAUACAAGGAUUCUUGUGGACAUCAAAGUGCCGGAGCCAAAAACAGGGCUCAACCUUCAAGAUUAGAGCUGUGUUCAAGUUGUUCAAGUUGACUCUGGGUCCCAAAGCAACAGCAAUUUCACUAAGGUUAUGCGUAAAAGCUCUGUAACAUUUGACCAUUUUUGUAAGGGUUUCAUGAUUUCAAGGACGAUUAUUAGCAUUUUCCAUUUUUGGCCAAUUCUGGAUGCUGGUAAUGUUACCACUGCAGGCAACGAUGGCUCUACUCAACUGAAGACCUCUUGCAGGCAAUGUGGACCAUAUCUGCUUUCCUACCUGAGAGAUUAGCAAAUUGGGUUUGGUGAUCAUGAAAUUCUCUCAGAUCUCAUAUUAGCAAGGAGACCCUGGUUGUACUUGUCAGGGCUGCCAGUUGGCCCUGCUGAAACUUUAGAACUGCACCAAUGUCUAAGACUUUCAUCCCUCCCUCCUUCCUUCACACAGGUGAAACCUGCCUGCCUCACUGUCUGACAGCUUUCCCAGCCUCCUCCAGGCUCCCCUCUGUUUUCUCUUAUACACAUUCCCCUCCAAUAAACUUCUUGUACAUUUAAUGCCAUCUCAGUGUCUGCUCCCAAGAGGACCCCAACUGACUCACUGGGGCAUUUAACCUCCAAUUCCUUUCCUCCCUUGGCUGAGAUCUGUUCCAAGAAGUAUCUCCAGGACACUCCAGCCUGUUGCACAGGCCAAAGAAAAGCCCUCAGGCAGAGGAGCAAGUACUUGCAAGAGGACACCCGUGGCAAGAACAGGGACAUGGUGAGACAUCGACAUCAUUGGCUCCAGUAGUACUAGUCACUCUUGACUAUGUUGUUUCAAUAGUUUUCCCUCUCAAAAACAUUUGUCACCUAUUUUGGAGUUAAUUCAGAGGAUUGCUCCAAAAGAAAAAACUAAAAAGCAAAACCAGCUUUAUUAAAAUGGUUCUGGAUUUAUCUUUUGAGAAUUCUUUUCAUAAGAAAUAAUGUCCUUAAGCUAUAUCAGGAAUAAAUGUUCUGCUUGAGAUAGAAAAACCAUUGGUUUUAUGUACCCUACAUCAAAUUCCUAGUGUGAUGUUUAAACCCAUUCCUGAAACCUAUAGCCUGACAGAUUUCAUAGGAUAAAAAGCCUGAGUUUAAGAGUUCUUAAAAGCAGAGUAAUUAGUCUAAUGGGUUUGGAAAUAAUAUGCAGUUUAAGGCCUAAAUGAUCUGCAUGUGUAUACAUGUUUAUAUGUUUUAUUCUACUUAAAAUGAGGAAUAGGUGUUCUGACUUUAAUUCUACUUAGUAGGCCAGUAAGGUGUAACAGAAAAUUCAUCCAGAAUGAAUACUGUUUUGGUUUGGCUGUUUCCCAACCCAGUCGCACCUUGAAUUGUAAUAAUCCCCACGUGUCAAGGGCAGGACCAGGUGGAGAUAGCUGAAUCAUGGCAGGUGGUUUCUGCCAUGCUGUUCUCCUGCUAGUGAGUUCUCAUGAAAUCUCAUAGUUUUAUAAGGGGCUUCCCCCUUCCCUCAACACUCAUUCUUUCUGUUGCCACCCUGUGAAGAUGUGCCUUUCGUCAUGAUUUUAAGUUUCCUGAGGCCUUCCCACCCAUGCAGAACUGUGAGUCAAUUAAACCGCUUUAUAAAUUACCUAGUCUUGGGUAUGUCCCUAUAGCAGCCUGAGAAUGAACUAAUACAAAGAUGUAGGAAUAAGAUAAAAUUAACAGAGGAAAUAGAGUGCAUGACACUGUUCUGCAUAUUAUGUUCUGAUCAAGGGUACACAUGGACCUGCUCAUAGUCCCACUUUAUUAGUCAUUUGAAAUGCUGCAAACUUAGUCAUCAGGAAAAUACAACAAAGGAUAUAUUUAAAAAUUAAUUUAAUGCUUGGCUAAAGCUUAAUUACAUAUAUAAUUAUCAAACGAUAGUCCUUAAUUUCCAAAAAAUUCCUUUUGAAAAUCACAGAAUCAGAAAGCAUAAACUUUAAAACAAGUUCUUUGAAUAUUUACAAUGUGAUAUAAACAUUAUAGAAGACCAUGGAUAUUAAAUUGCCUGGGUGUGGCUAAUCAGCAAGGCGUAUUCUUUAUUGCAUAUUUAACUCACAUAUGUGGGAUUUUAAAUAUGACAGACUACUGAAAUUCAAAUGCAUGUAUGUGCAAGCUGGGCAGGGAGUAAAAUCAUGAAUGAGACAGGACGGUCAGCCCAAAACCAUGCAAUUAGGUUGUGGGUUUAUUAUUCUCAAAAGUGAAAUUUCUAUGUUCCAUUUGAAAGUAUGUUGCAUAUAUCAUUUAGCAUUCACAUUAAACCCACAUUUGACUCUAACG